rnacentral:rRNA from 1 species
UACGGAGGAUGCGAGCGUUAUCCGGAUUUAUUGGGUUUAAAGGGUGCGUAGGCGGACUGUCAAGUCAGCGGUAAAAUUGAGAGGCUCAACCUCUUCCCGCCGUUGAAACUGGUGGCCUUGAGUGGAUGAGAAGUACGCGGAAUGCGUGGUGUAGCGGUGAAAUGCAUAGAUAUCACGCAGAACUCCGAUUGCGAAGGCAGCGUACCGGCAUCCAACUGACGCUGAGGCACGAAAGCGUGGGGAGCAAACAGG